rnacentral:RNase_P_RNA from 2 species
AAAAACGGGAAAUUGCGGUACUGCAUAUUGUAGUAUUGAGGAAAGUCCAGACUGCCACGACCUGAGAUGGUCGUAAUGUUCGUGCCCAUUGCAAGGUGGGGCAGGGCGAAUGCUCUGACGACGGCAAAAUUGACUCACGUAGCCAAAAGUAGCCAUAAAGUGCACAGAGAAUGAGUAGACUGGCAACAGUCUAGUGAAAGGUGGUAAACUCCACGAGGCAGAAACCCGAAUUUUGGUAGGGGAACUUCCUAUAGGGAAUCAAACCGAAGGGGAGAACGCAGUUCCUGCGUUAGAUAAAUAAUUUCCUAAAACAGAAACUGGCUUACGGUU